GAUGAACGCUGGCGGCGUGCCUAACACAUGCAAGUCGAACGGAGUCCAGCCUUUAAGGCCUUCGGGUCAAAGAGGGGAAGACUGAGUGGCGGACGGGUGAGUAACACGUGGGCAACCUGGCUCAUAGAGGGGGAUAACAGAGAGAAAUUUCUGCUAAUACCGCAUAAGCACACACUGCCGCAUGGCAGAGGGUGAAAAGAGAAUCGCUAUGAGAUGGACCCGCGUCUGAUUAGCCAGUUGGCAGGGUAAGAGCCUACCAAAGCGACGAUCAGUAGCCGAUCUGAGAGGAUGAACGGCCACAUUGGGACUGAGACACGGCCCAAACUCCUACGGGAGGCAGCAGUGGGGGAUAUUGCACAAUGGGGGGAACCCUGAUGCAGCGACGCCGCGUGAGUGAAGAAGUAUUUCGGUAUGUAAAGCUCUAUCAGCAGGGAAAGAUAAUACAGACCUAAUAGA
rnacentral:rRNA from 1 species